rnacentral:rRNA from 1 species
AGUUUGAUCCUGGCUCAGGAUGAACGCUAGCUACAGGCUUAACACAUGCAAGUCGAGGGGCAGCAUCAUCAAAGCUUGCUUUGAUGGAUGGCGACCGGCGCACGGGUGAGUAACACGUAUCCAACCUGCCGACAACACUGGGAUAGCCUUUCGAAAGAAAGAUUAAUACCGGAUGGCAUAGUUUUCCCGCAUGGGAUAAUUAUUAAAGAAUUUCGGUUGUCGAUGGGGAUGCGUUCCAUUAGGCAGUCGGCGGGGUAACGGCCCACCAAACCAACGAUGGAUAGGGGUUCUGAGAGGAAGGUCCCCCACAUUGGAACUGAGACACGGUCCAAACUCCUACGGGAGGCAGCAGUGAGGAAUAUUGGUCAAUGGACGAGAGUCUGAACCAGCCAAGUAGCGUGAAGGAUGACUGCCCUAUGGGUUGUAAACUUCUUUUAUACGGGAAUAAAGUUAGCCACGUGUGGCUUUUUGUAUGUACCGUAUGAAUAAGGAUCGGCUAACUCCGUGCCAGCAGCCGCGGUAAUACGGAGGAUCCGAGCGUUAUCCGGAUUUAUUGGGUUUAAAGGGAGCGUAGGCGGGUUGUUAAGUCAGUUGUGAAAGUUUGCGGCUCAACCGUAAAAUUGCAGUUGAUACUGGCGACCUUGAGUGCAACAGAGGUAGGCGGAAUUCGUGGUGUAGCGGUGAAAUGCUUAGAUAUCACGAAGAACUCCGAUUGCGAAGGCAGCUUACUGGAUUGUAACUGACGCUGAUGCUCGAAAGUGUGGGUAUCAAACAGGAUUAGAUACCCUGGUAGUCCACACAGUAAACGAUGAAUACUCGCUGUUGGCGAUAUACGGUCAGCGGCCAAGCGAAAGCAUUAAGUAUUCCACCUGGGGAGUACGCCGGCAACGGUGAAACUCAAAGGAAUUGACGGGGGCCCGCACAAGCGGAGGAACAUGUGGUUUAAUUCGAUGAUACGCGAGGAACCUUACCCGGGCUUAAAUUGCAACUGACUGAACCGGAAACGGUUCUUUCUUCGGACAGUUGUGAAGGUGCUGCAUGGUUGUCGUCAGCUCGUGCCGUGAGGUGUCGGCUUAAGUGCCAUAACGAGCGCAACCCUUAUCGAUAGUUACUAGCAGGUCAUGCUGAGGACUCUAUUGAGACUGCCGUCGUAAGAUGUGAGGAAGGUGG